CCUACGGGGGGCAGCAGUGGGGAAUUUUGGACAAUGGGCGAAAGCCUGAUCCAGCAAUGCCGCGUGCAGGAUGAAGGCCCUCGGGUUGUAAACUGCUUUUGUACGGAACGAAAAGCCUGGGGCUAAUAUCCCCGGGUCAUGACGGUACCGUAAGAAUAAGCACCGGCUAACUACGUGCCAGCAGCCGCGGUAAUACGUAGGGUGCAAGCGUUAAUCGGAAUUACUGGGCGUAAAGCGUGCGCAGGCGGUUUUGUAAGACAGUGGUGAAAUCCCCGGGCUCAACCUGGGAACUGCCAUUGUGACUGCAAGGCUAGAGUGCGGCAGAGGGGGAUGGAAUUCCGCGUGUAGCAGUGAAAUGCGUAGAUAUGCGGAGGAACACCGAUGGCGAAGGCAAUCCCCUGGGCCUGCACUGACGCUCAUGCACGAAAGCGUGGGGAGCAAACAGGAUUAGAUACCCCAGUAGUC
rnacentral:rRNA from 1 species